rnacentral:rRNA from 1 species
AGUUUAACGGCCGCGGUACUCUGACCGUGCGAAGGUAGCAUAAUCACUUGUUCUUUAAAUGGGGACUCGUAUCAACGGCAUCACGAGGGCCAUACUGUCUCCUUUUUCCAAUCAGUGAAACUGAUCUCCCCGUGAAGAAGCGGGGAUAAUCCUAUAAGACGAGAAGACCCCAUGGAGCUUUAAACCCAACAACAACUCUGAGUUACUAAACCACAAAAAUUAAUUGAGCCCUGUAAUUGUUGGUUUUAGGUUGGGGUGACCGCGGAGCAUAAAAUAACCUCCACGACGAACGGGACUAAACCCUUAUCCAUGAACUACCACUCUAAGAAUCAGCACUCUGACUUCUAAUGAUCCGAUUACUCGAUCAACGGACCAAGUUACCCUGGGGAUAACAGCGCCAUCCAUUUCGAGAGCUCCUAUCGACAAAUGGGUUUACGACCUCGAUGUUGGAUCAGGGUAUCCCAGUGGUGCAGCCGCUACUAAAGGUUUGUUUGUUCAACAAUUAAAACCCUACGUGAUCUGAGUCCAG